rnacentral:rRNA from 1 species
UAGGGAAUCUUCCGCAAUGGACGCAAGUCUGACGGAGCAACGCCGCGUGAGUGAAGAAGGAUUUCGGUUCGUAAAACUCUGUUGUUAGAGAAGAACAGCGCAUAGAGUAACUGUUAUGCGUGUGACGGUAUCUAACCAGAAAGCCACGGCUAACUACGUGCCAGCAGCCGCGGUAAUACGUAGGUGGCAAGCGUUGUCCGGAUUUAUUGGGCGUAAAGCGAGCGCAGGCGGUCAAUUAAGUCUGAUGUGAAAGCCCCCGGCUCAACCGGGGAGGGUCAUUAGAAACAGAUUGACUUGAGUGCAAAAGAGGAGAGUGGAAUUCCAUGUGUAGCGGUGAAAUGCGUAGAUAUAUGGAGGAACUCCAGUGGCGAAGGCGACUAUCUGGUCUGUAACUGACGCUGAGGCUCGAAAGCGUGGGUAGCAAACAGG